AGCUCAGUUGGUAGAGCGCUCCACUUGUAAUGAAGAGGUCCCGGGUUCAAUACCCGG
rnacentral:tRNA from 1 species